rnacentral:rRNA from 1 species
CGGUAAUUCCAGCUCCAAUAGCGUAUACUAAAGUUGUUGCAGUUAAAAAGCUCGUAGUUGGAUUUCUGCGGGGACGGAGCGGCCGGUCGCAACUUGCGACUCGAGCUAGCGCUUUCCCCGCAUCCUGCCGCGAACCGUGCUACCAUUAGUUUGGUGGCGCUGGGGAUCGGCUCGAUUACUUUGAGAAAAAUAGAGUGUUCAAAGCAGGCCACAUGCCUUGAAUAAGUUAGCAUGGAAUAAUGACUAAGGACUUUGGUUCUUUUCGUUGGUGUUCGGGACUGAAGUAAUGAUUGAUAGGGACAGUUGGGGCGGUCCGUAUUCCAAAGCGAGAGGUGAAAUUCUUAGACCUUCGGAAGACGAACAGCUGCGAAAGCGUUCCGCAAGGAUGUUCCCUUUGAUCAAGAACGAAAGUUGGGGGAUCGAAGACGAUCAGAUACCGUCGUAGUCUCAACUAUAAACUAUACCAGCUAGGGAUCGGCCAACGUUUAAUUAUUCGACUUGGUCGGCACCUUAUGAGAAAUCAAAGCAUCUGGGUUCCGGUGGGAGUAUGGUCGCAAGGCUGAAACUUAAAGGAAUUGACGGAAGGGCACCACCAGCCGUGGAGCCUGUGGCUUAAUUUGACUCAACACGGGAAAACUUACCAGGUCCGGACAUAGUAAGGAUUGACAGAUUGAUAGCUCUUUCUUGAUUCUGUGGGUGGUGGUGCAUGGCCGUUUUUAGUCGGUGGAUGUGAUCUGUCUGCUUAAUUGCGUUAACGGACGAGACCCCAGCCUGCUAAAUAGCGCGGCCGAGCUUUGCUCGGUGCGAGCUUCUUAGAGGGACCAUGAUGCGCGAUAGCACAAGGAAGUUUGGGGCAACAACAGGUCUGUGAUGCCCUUAGAUGUUCUGGGCCGCACACGGGCUACACUGGCGCCUGCAACGAGCAUAUCAGCUGGCCCGAGAGGGUCUUGGCUAAUCUUUGGAACCGGCGCCGUGCUUGGGAUUGACCAUUGCAAUUGUUGGUCAUGCAACGAGGAAUGCCUUGUAAACGCGAGUCAUCAGCUCGCAUUGAAUACGUCCCUGCCCUUUGUACACACCGCCCGUCGCUCCUACCGAUGAAUGUUCCGAUGAAAUUUUCGGAGAGCACCAGAGAACGGGGCUCUGCCUUGCAGAUCUGGAGGCUCAAAGUCACUUAAAUCUGAACAUUUCGAGGAAGGAGAAGUCGUAACAAGGUAGCCG